CUUGGUCAUUUAGAGGAAGUAAAAGUCGUAACAAGGUCUCCGUUGGUGAACCAGCGGAGGGAUCAUUACCGAGUGCUAUAACUCAUAACCCUUUGUGAACCUUUAUACCUGUUGCUUCGGCGGCGCGCCUCCCGGGGCGUGCCCGCCGGCAUUAUCAGAAUCUCUGUUCGAACCCGACGAUACAUCUGAGUGUUCUAAGCGAACUGUUAAAACUUUCAACAACGGAUCUCUUGGCUCCAGCAUCGAUGAAGAACGCAGCGAAACGCGAUAUGUAAUGUGAAUUGCAGAAUUCAGUGAAUCAUCGAAUCUUUGAACGCACAUGGCGCCUUCCAGUAUCCUGGGAGGCAUGCCUGUCCGAGCGUCGUUUCAACCCUCGAGCCCCCGUGGCCCGGCGUUGGGGAUCUGCCCAGGCAGUCCCCGAAAACCAGCGGCGGACCCGUUGGGCCCUUCCUUUGCGUAGUAACAUCUGCCUCGCAUCGGGAGCCUGCGGGCUAUCCGGCCUCUAAACCCCCCUCAAGCCCGCUCCGGCGGCACCAAGGUUGACCUCGGAUCAGGUAGGAAUACCCGCUGAACUUAAGCAUAUCAAUAAGCGGAGGAAAAGAAACCAACAGGGAUUGCCUCAGUAACGGCGAGUGAAGCGGCAACAGCUCAAAUUUGAAAUCUGGCUCCUUCGGGGCCCGAGUUGUAAUUUGCAGAGGAUGCUUCGGGUACGGGUUCCUUCCGAGUUCCCUGGAACGGGACGCCAUAGAGGGUGAGAGCCCCGUCUGGUAGGACACCCAGCCCGUGUGAAGCUCCCUCGACGAGUCGAGUUGUUUGGGAAU
rnacentral:sRNA from 1 species